UACGUAGGGUGCGAGCGUUGUCCGGAAUUAUUGGGCGUAAAGGGCUCGUAGGCGGUUUGUCGCGUCGGGGGUGAAAACUCAGGGCUUAACCCUGAGCCUGCUUCCGAUACGGGCAGACUAGAGGUAUGCAGGGGAGAACGGAAUUCCUGGUGUAGCGGUGAAAUGCGCAGAUAUCAGGAGAAACACCGGUGGCGAAGGCGGUUCUCUGGGCAUUACCUGACGCUGAGGAGCGAAAGUGUGGGGAGCGAACAGG
rnacentral:rRNA from 1 species